rnacentral:rRNA from 1 species
UUCGUAGGGUGCAAGCGUUGUCCGGAAUUAUUGGGCGUAAAGGGCGCGUAGGCGGCUCGGCACGUCCGUUGUGAAAUCGCCCGGCUCAACUGGGCGGGGUCGGCGGAUACGGCCGAGCUGGAGCAAGCUAGGGGGUAAUGGAAUUCCCGGUGUAGUGGUGGAAUGCGUAGAUAUCGGGAGGAACACCAGUGGCGAAGGCGGUUACCUGGAGCUUUGCUGACGCUGAUGCGCGAAAGCGUGGGGAGCGAUCCGG